AUGGAAGGUUCAGAAACUUGUGUUAGUUUUGACUGUCCUUUUCAAAUGAGGAUUUAUUACAUUCAAGAUUCUCCAACAAAAAUAAAAAAGAAAAUAAAAAAAUUUGAGAGCAUAUUCUUGUAAGUAGAAUAUGAUUUCCACUGGUUUCCACUGCAACAUCCACAGACUGCCCUCUUCUCAAAAGUGAGAUAAUUCUGUUUCUGGAAGGAAUUUCAGCAAACUACUUUUGCUUAUGAACACAGUAAAAGGAAUGUGCAUUCAUCUUUUUAACACACAGGAUUUAUAAAUUAAGAGAAAUAUGUAUAAAGACAUUGCUCAUUUCCUGGUAUUUACUGAACCAUUACCUUUUACCUCAUGACCUCUUCCUCUGGUCUUCUUAAUCUUAAAAAACAAAAAAAAAAACCUCUCGAGAGAUUCCAGUGGACAACAUAAUUUUGUUUAUUUUGUUUAAAAAUAUAUACUGUAAACUAAAAAAAUAGAGUAUCUACAUAUAUAUAUACAUUGGCAAGAAAUUGAAAAUGGCACUUUUUGUACUAAGAAUAAUCACAAGUUAUUUGAAUAUCCCAUAGUGUCUGUAGAUAUUUAUUGGCAACAUAUCUUUCAAGAACAAUGGUUAUUACUCACACUAAACUAACAUUUCUUUUACAUAUCUACAAUUUUUCUAGGGCCUUGCCAGAGAAUUUAACAGUUGGCGUUUCACACUAAUGUGAAGAAUAUCAUUUUCUACAGUGUGUUCCUGGGCAUGGUUGGAAAUACAACCCUUUGCUCUAUAUUUUAUUCCCAUCUUUUCACAGGAAAGCUUCAUAUCUAUGACAGAAACACAAGAAAACAGCAUAGCUUUAUAUCCUUGGAUGAUGAAAAACAGGAUCCCUGGAUUUAGAUGGGAAUACAGCAUUGCCAUCUGCAGUUCUACAUAAUUUGUAGCUUUGUUAUUUCCUAGGUCAUUGUCAGCUGGAUCCCUUACUGAGCCCAGAUAUACUUUAGGAGCAGGUUUUUAGAGUCAGCUCAACACAACAAAAUUGAGUUGCUCCUUUGGAACUGCUUAGUGUUUGUUUUCCCCACAGUUUAGCUUUACAGAAAGAAUUUGUGAAAAACAGUCUUUUUCAUGAAAAAAUUACCUAAUAAAUGCUUGUCCACUCCUCCA
rnacentral:lncRNA from 1 species